GCCCUGGCUACUUCUGCAAGUGUGCCCAUGGCUACGACGGAAACCCCUAUGUCCAGAGUGAUGGUGAAUGCACGAGUAAGUAGUAUAUAUAAUCCCCUUCUUCUCAAUCUAUAAGUGGUUUUAUUUGGUUAUUUUAAAUACAUCACUUUUAUUAUUAACUAUAUGUAUCCCGAUAUAUAUAUCUACCUCAUUGCAAUUUUGCCCGUACCUUGUUUGUGAUGGCAAAUGUCCUAAUCACUUCUAUAUGUCUUUCAGAUGUAAUUUUUCUAUCCUUUCAUGCUAUCGUCAGUGGCACAAAAGGAUAAGUACAUGUGAUUUUCUUACCCUUUUACGCCACUGACGAGGGCAUGAAAAAGGUAAGAAAUUGCAUCCGAGUGACAUAGAAGAGAUUAGGAUGUACUGGACAAAAUUGCGGUGACAUACGUAGAAUUUUCUCUAUAUAUCUAGUAAUGCAUCUAGAAAAACUAAAUUGGCAUUAUUUGGAGCAGGACUGGUGUAUAUUCUCAAGGCACGGUGCCAUACUAUACUCAUUAUUUAAUAUAUACCAUGUAGGAUAGAAAGCUGAUGUGACAUUUGAGUAAAGAAGGAAGAAAAUAAAACAAUAUCUUGAGGGAGAUGCCACUUAGACACGAGAUCAUAGGCAUUGAAACCUAAAACAACUAAAUGACCACAAUUCAUUCUCUCAUACACAAUUAUCGUUAAAUUGUCUUAUGUGUGGCACUAUCGGAAUUCGCCUUUUUGCCGGGUGCCAAAUAUUUUGCCGAGUGUUUUCUUUCAGGCACUCGUCAAAGAAGUUUUUUACCGAGUGCCAGACAAAAAAGCCUCGGUAAAUAAAACACUAGGCAAACAAGAUCUUUGUCGAGUGUUUUAUUUUUGACACUCGGCAAAGACAAUUUAAAAUCAUAUUUUAAAGCAGUAAAUUAAUUCAAAUGAAAAAAUUUUAACUACAAAUUUGUAUAACUCAUCAUGAUGUACAAUUUAUAUUUUGAACAUUUCUUCAUAUGACAAAAUAUAAGUAAAUUUAUUCAUAAAAUCUAUAUCUCUCUCGUAGUUUAUAAAACUACGAGAGAGAUGUAUUAGAUUUGUGCAUAUUGUUAGAACCAUCAUGUGAGAUUAACAAGUGACCAAACCACCGAAAUAAACUUUGUAGAUCUUGAGAAGUUAUAGAAGUUUAUAGUUGGCAACUUUUUCAUUUGAAGUCAUCUUGUCAACUAAAACUACGUCUGAAUUUUAAAAAUUUAAAAUUUGAAUUUUGAAAACGACCUCGAAAAAAAACCACCAACAUGAAAAUUGUAGGUAUUGAAGGGUUAUGAAACUUUGUAGUUGACAAUAUUUUGGUUUGAAAUCAUCUUGUCAUGCAAAACUAUGAUUGAAUUUUAAAAUUUGAAUUUUUGAAACUACCUCGAAUGGAAAAACCACCAAAAUAAAAGUUGUAGGUCUUGAAAUAUAAUAAAACUUUGUAAUUGACAAAUUUUUUAUUUUAAAUCAUCUUACCAUUUAAAAUUUCGUGUGAAGUUUUAAAAUUUGAAAUUAAAGUUUUGUAAACAAUCUCGUAUGUAGAAACUAUCAAAAUAGAACUUGUAGAUCUUGAAAAGUUAUACAACUUUAUAGUUGUUCACAUUUUCAAAUGAAUUCAUUUAGUGUCUCAAAUAAUCAGAUUAUUCUCGGGUUGUUAUAGUACAUGGGAAUGAAAACGUAAUAUAGACAUAAUUGAUGUAGUAGUGUAGUGCGCGAGAGAGGUUGCAAGUUCGAAUCUCACUAUUCAUAAAACAUGUAAAUUUUAUUCAAAAUAAUAGUGAAAAAUGAUAGGAUAAUGGGGUAUGGUAUUGGGUAGUGGUUGGAGAGUUGUUCAUAUAAUUUAGAAAAUGUUUUGCUAUUUUUUGGGGUUUUUUUUGCGAUUCCUAAUUUACCGAGUGUUUUUCGACACUCGACAAAGUCUUUGUUGAGUGUCCGAAAAAAUAUACUCGACAAAAAACCCUUCACCGAUAAAAUAUUUGUCAAGUGUAAAAUGGCCUUUGCCGAGCCGAGUGUCUUAGACACUCGGCAAAGAACGUGAGUCCGGUAGUAUGGACUAUGAAACAACGUAUGGUAAUAUACACGGGAUAACUAUAUAGAAUCUUCAAUAAUAACAUAUGAGACGACAACUUUGAAUACUUUGACAAGAAAUAGUGGUUUGGAAAUGGGCUAAGCCAUCCAGUCGGUGAGAGGGCACAAGUUGUCGGACUAGUGUCGUUGAUAAUAACGGAGAUAGUUGGUCUGAUGUCACUGUCCAGAAAUCCAUAUGAUCAUGGAAUUAUUAUCAACGACAAAUUUGUAUGGCCACACAUCACAUCCAUACAGAUUCCUUUGUCUACUUCCUAUUCGUUGACAAGAAAUUGUGAUAGCACUCGCAUUAUUGUUAUGUCCCGUUUAGAUCAUUGGAAUUGAAUUCCAUUCUAAUAACAGUAAUUAGGUAUAUACUAAUUAACUAAUUCGAUUUUAUGCAAAAUAUAUUUGUAUACUGUUAUUAACAAGGUAUCGGAGAUAUUUAUAUGUGCUACAUUUUUACUAUCGAGAAGUGAGUUGAAAAUCGUCUUGUAAGUUAGAGAGUCGAAACAAAUUCUAUUGAUACAUAAAAUCAUUUCCAAUCUUCCAUCUCAUGAAUUUGAGAUAGACUUAUAUCUGAACCUUAAAAAGUGGUAGAAUGUUAAAUUCCAAGGUAAAUGUGUUACUUUAUUGACUGAAUUCCAGUUCCACUAAAAUGAAGGUAUAUAUCCAAACGCACAAAAGCGACAAAGUAGCAAUGACUUCAACCUUUUAAAAAAAGGUGCCUUUAAAAAAACAAAAGAGCAGGAAUCUGUUUAUUAAGAUUAAUUUUCCGAACCGUGUGUUGAAUUCUUUUGAGUUCUCACAUCUCAAAAGAUCGCUCCUUGCUUUCAUAAAUUAUUGGCAAACGACUGACUCUCUUUUGUGACUAUUUGAAUGCUCACAAAAUUAAUAAUUAAUUAUAUACAGAUAUCAACGAGUGCCAAGAUCCAAAGUCACAUAAUUGUUCAAGUGGCAGCAAAUGCAUUGACACAGACGGAGGCUAUUAUUGUCAAUGCAAUUUCUUCCGAAGAGGGCAGCAAUGUGAUCCCUUAAUUCCUAUGGCUGCCGUUGCACUGUUAAGUAAGCACAAAAUUCUAUUAACACCUUGUUACAUUACAUCAUUCUCUUUAAUUUGCACUUAGCUUGUUCUGUUUCGUCCUAAAAGUGACUAAAACGACAAAACUUUUGCACCAUUUUAGUCAUUUUUAGCUCUUUGUAUUUGGACCUUUAGCUACCGGGAUAAAGUGGCCAAGGGAGAAAAAUGUAAGGCUAUGAGUCGCCUUGAGUUGUGAUUUGCGACAACACGGGCGUGAGCCUAUCUAGCGACUAGCGAGGUUUCUCCAUGAUUUUUUUGGUGAUGUUAGCCUGGUUUAUAAUUUAAAAAAAUCAUUUAUAGUGGUAGUUUUAUUAAUAAAACUGCUAUUAUUGUAAACCUAGUGUCUGAGAAUGUAAAUAUUUAUAGUGGCGGUUUUUUACCAAUGUCUGGCCUUGCACACGUACGGGCGGUUAAAGAAACCAUCAAUAAGGGCUAGUUUGAGAACUCCAUUUUCUCAUGGAAUUUCUAUUUUUCCAUUGUAAAAUGAACUAAUUUCCUUUGGAAAAAUGAAAAUCCAUUGGAAAAAUUAGGUUUCCAAACUAGCCCUAAAGAUCAGUUUUCUACCGUAGGUAAAAGUCUUUUGUGUAGUGUCCUGAUAAUUUCUUAAACAUUCAAUUACACAAAUAGAAGAACUAAUAGCGUGUUUGGUUUGAGGAUUGAGCUAGUCUAUCAUCUUCUCACUCCUCGAUAUUUAUGUUUGGCUUGUAGAAUGGAAUGAGUUGAUCCAUCAUUACCUCAUUCCUCAUAGUUAGUUAGUUAGUACUAAUGUGAGGAAUAGGGUCAUCCCACCAAAUUUGUGUAAUGAACCUAUGAUGCAUCACCUCAAUUUGGAUACAGUGAUUCCUUAAACCAAACACCCCCUAAGAGCGUUGCCUAGGCCUUAAAAAAUUCUAAAAAUGAAUAAAAGAAACAAGAAUCAUUAUGAUUUUGAGUU
rnacentral:lncRNA from 7 species